UUUUUUUWUUUUUAUGURUUGUUGUAAAAUUAUAUUAAGAGGUAUUAAUUAAUAAAUUUAAUUAAAAUUAUAAUUCAAAUCAAAAUGUAGAAUAAUUAAGAGUUUAAUGAGUUACAAUUAGAUUAAUAAUUGAAUUUUAAAAAAUUUAAUUUUAUAAAUGAAAAUGGAUUUAAAAGUAAAAUUAUAUAAACUUAUAAUUGAAU
rnacentral:rRNA from 1 species